CUGGCUUGAUAUCCUUGGGGUUGUCAUCCUCUCCUGAGUCCCCAUACAGCUUGAAAGUGUUAUCAAAGCAGACACUGCGGACCCUGGGCUCAAAGUCAGGGAUAAUCAAUCAUCAGAAGUGCAAGGACACUGAGUGGCGUGCUUGACGAUGACUGAGGAAAACAGCAUGUUGGCAGAGUUUGUUGGAUCGCGACUUGUAAUCACUGAAUGCAGUUUGAGAUCAAAGUGAGCUGUAUUGGACCUUUCGUGAAGGAGAAGGUGUCAUUGUAAACCUUGGAUACUUCUUAUAGCGUUUUGGUCAGUUUGCUCUUCAGCAUUGAUGCAGCUGGAAUUCUACACACAGCGGACAGGCGGUGUGCUGCUGGAAGGAAAUAUAGGUGCUUCAUCUGCAUCAGGAGGAUAACUGGUGAUGAGCCACGACAAUAUGGA
rnacentral:sRNA from 1 species